UACGUAGGGUGCGAGCGUUGUCCGGAAUUAUUGGGCGUAAAGGGCGCGUAGGCGCCUGGCAAGUGGAAGGUGAAAUCCCUCGGCUUAACCGAGGAACUGCCUCCCAAACUGCUUGGCUUGAGACCGGGAGAGGUGAGUGGAAUUCCCAGUGUAGCGGUGAAAUGCGUAGAUAUUGGGAGGAACACCAGUGGCGAAGGCGGCUCACUGGACCGGUACUGACGCUGAUGCGCGAAAGCGUGGGGAGCAACGGG
rnacentral:rRNA from 1 species